GGGGAUUUGGCUCAGUGGUAGAGCGCUUGCCUAGCAAGCGCAAGGUCCUGGGUUCGGUCCCCAGCUCCA
rfam:Rattus norvegicus chromosome 16, whole genome shotgun sequence.